UGGUCCUUUGAAGUUUAGCACUCUCUUCCAGCCUUAAGGUCCAGGUUCCUAAGAACCUCCCUGCUAAGAAGCUUAGCAGUGGAAAAACUUAAAAGGUUACAGGGAAUAUACUCAAGAGACUGAGGCAGGAGAAUUACUUGAAACCAGGAGACAGAGGUUGUAGUGAGCCAAGAUCGCACUACUGCACAAUCUUGCACUGUCUGGGUGACAAAGCAAGACUCUGUCUAAAAAAAAAAGUUCUGGGGAAUAGAGCAAAAUUUUGGAAGCUCUUAUUAGAACUUUUCCCAUUUGCCAAACAAAACAGAAAAGAAUUUAAAUGUUUUAAUAAAAUGUUUUUUAUUCAAUUUAAAAUAGAUGUAAUUUAGUGUCCAUUAGCAUUCAUGUGUCAUCUCUUAUGCUCUAUCAAGAUUGAUUUCUUUGGAGCUAGAGGCCAUUUAUCCUAAAUGAAGUAACACAGAAACAGAAAACCAAAUACCACGUUCUCGCUUAUAAGUAGGAGCUAAACAUUGAGUACACAUGGGCACAAAGAAGGAAACAGCAGACACCAGGGCCUACUUAAGGGUAGAGGCUGGGAGGACGGUGGGGAUAGAAAAAGUACCUAUCAGGUACUGUGCUUAUUACCUGGGUGAUUAGGUAAUUUGUACACAAAACCCCUAUGUCACACUAUUUAUCUAUAUAAGAAACCUGCAUGUGUACCUCUAAACCUAAAAUAAAAGUUGUUUUUU